GAUCCACGAAGGGUCGCUUGGAUUUAUUUUUGGUAGUGGGAAAAGAUGCCAUUUAUUACUCGAUGGACAAUCAUGUUCCUUCAAACUUAUCAACUGACGAUUGAAGUGGGCAUUGACGUCUAUAAAUAGAAGCCAAAGGCCAGUUGAACCCUAUCUUUCAUCUCUCUCUCUUUGCAGAAACUCUUCUUUCCUUCGCCACAAUAGCACCACCUCUGUAUCCAUCCUUAUCAGCGAUCAAGGACAGGGUAAAGGAGUGGAGGGCCUUCGUGAGAGCGGCCCAAGAGGAAGGACUAGGCGCGCCAGACCAUCUUCCUCUCAUGGGGUGCUCUCCAACCCUCGGGCCG
rnacentral:lncRNA from 1 species